GACGAACGCUGGCGGCGUGCUUAACACAUGCGAGUCGAACGGUGAAGGGGUCUGCUUUUGUGGGCCCUGGAUGAGUGGCGAACGGGUGAGUAACACGUGAGUAACCUGCCCCCUUCUUCUGGAUAACCGCAUGAAAGUGUGGCUAAUACGGGAUAUUCUGGGUCUGUCGCAUGAUGGGUCUGGGAAAGAUUGCGCCUUUGGGUGUUUUUGGUGGGGGAUGGGCUCGCGGCCUAUCAGCUUGUUGGUGGGGUGAUGGCCUACCAAGGCGGUGACGGGUAGCCGGCCUGAGAGGGUGGACGGUCACACUGGGACUGAGACACGGCCCAGACUCCUACGGGAGGCAGCAGUGGGGAAUAUUGCACAAUGGGCGCAAGCCUGAUGCAGCGACGCCGCGUGAGGGAUGGAGGCCUUCGGGUUGUAAACCUCUUUCGCCAGUGAAGCAGGCCUGCUCCUUGUGGGUGGGUUGACGGUAGCUGGAUAAGAAGCGCCGGCUAACUACGUG
rnacentral:rRNA from 1 species